GUGAAAGGGUUGUUUGCUGUCAUCGGGAGCAUUGCUCAUUGCUGACAAAGCUCGACCAGUGAGCAUCUCUGCCACCUGGUAUUCAUAAAAGCCGUAACGCUGACAUUAUCGCUGUUUAAAUCAAAAUACCUGGAAGUCCUUUAUGUGCUGGUGGGUCUGCGAGACGAUGCUCUGGAUCGACUGCGGCGGCUGAGAGUGGAACACUAUCAGGAAUAUGCUUAUUGCAAAUACAGAUGUUGAGAACACAA